CCUACGGGUGGCAGCAGUGAGGAAUAUUGGUCAAUGGGCGCGAGUCUGAACCAGCCAAGUAGCGUGCAGGAUGACUGCCCUAUGGGUUGUAAACUUCUUUUAUACAGGAAUAAACUGAGGCACGUGUGGCUUUUUGUAUGUACUUCAUGAAUAAGGAUCGGCUAAUUCCGUGCCAGCAGCCGCGGUAAUACGGAGGAUCCGGGCGUUAUCCGGAUUUAUUGGGUUUAAAGGGAGCGUAGGUGGGCUGUUAAGCCAGUUGUGAAAUGUUGCGGCUCAACCGUGAAAUUGCAAUGGUUACUGGCGGUCUUGAGUACAGUUGAGGUAGGCGGAAUUCGUGGUGUAGCGGUGAAAUGCUUAGAUAUCACGAAGAACUCCGAUUGUGAAGGCAGCUUACUAAACUGCCACUGACAUUGAGGCUCGAAAGUGCGGGUAUCGAACAGGAUUAGAUACCCCUGUAGUC
rnacentral:rRNA from 1 species